UACGAAGGGGGCUAGCGUUGCUCGGAAUCACUGGGCGUAAAGGGUGCGUAGGCGGGUCUUUAAGUCAGGGGUGAAAUCCUGGAGCUCAACUCCAGAACUGCCUUUGAUACUGAGGAUCUUGAGUACGGGAGAGGUGAGUGGAACUGCGAGUGUAGAGGUGAAAUUCGUAGAUAUUCGCAAGAACACCAGUGGCGAAGGCGGCUCACGGGCCCGUUACUGACGCUGAGGCACGAAAGCGUGGGGAGCAAACAGG
rnacentral:rRNA from 1 species